UACCCUAGUUAAGUUUAUUAGUAAGAGCUAGUAAUGCCUAGUAAGGCUAACCUGUUUUUAAUUUUAAAUUAAUUUUUUUUAUAUCUAGAAUCUAGACUAGAUCUACUCUAGCUAUUUACUAGAUCUAGAUCAGUAGCCAGUAGAGUGAUUAGAGUAGUAGUAGAGUGUAGUGUAGAGUACUGUAGACUAUUGUAGAGUGUAGGUACUAAUAACUAGACUGAAACUAAAUUAGACUAGAAUCUAGGUCUAGAUACAUUUAGGGCUUACAGACUUAUCAGACUACAGUGUUGCAAUGAGUAGAUCUAGUAAUAUAUAGAUUUAAGAUUAAAUUUAGUUUGAAAUUGUUACAGUAGUGCUACUACUUUUCUAAGUAGUAAGUAGUGUAGACUACUAGAAGAGCAAGAUGAUAGAUCUCCAUCAAGCUACAAUAGAGUUUAGUUAGUAGUUAGUUAGUCAUAGUAAUAGUACCAAAAGCAGUGUACUUGGCAAGCAAUUUUCUCACACUUUACUGUGGCUAUUGGUGCUGAUCUUGAACUAAAGGUAAAUGGAACAGCAUGGAUGUGGAUUUUUAGACACAAGGAAGCUGAAUUUAACUUUUAAUGAAGAAUUUAAAUGAUGAUUGUCCAUGAAAAGAAAUAUUAAUCAUAUACAUUGUAAUGCUGUAUUGAUGCAUCUUCUGUUUUAAGUAAUUAAAAAACCAU